rnacentral:rRNA from 1 species
AGUGAACGCUGGCGGUAGGCCUAACACAUGCAAGUCGAACGGCAGCACAGUAAGAGCUUGCUCUUACGGGUGGCGAGUGGCGGACAGGUGUGGAAUACAUCGGAAUCUACUUUUUCGUGGGGGAUAACGUAGGGAAACUUACGCUAAUACCGCAUACGACCUACGGGUGAAAGCAGGGGAUCUUCGGACCUUGCGCGAUUGAAUGAGCCGAUGUCGGAUUAGCUAGUUGGCGGGGUAAAGGCCCACCAAGGCGACGAUCCGUAGCUGGUCUGAGAGGAUGAUCAGCCACACUGGAACUGAGACACGGUCCAGACUCCUACGGGAGGCAGCAGUGGGGAAUAUUGGACAAUGGGCGCAAGCCUGAUCCAGCCAUACCGCGUGGGUGAAGAAGGCCUUCGGGUUGUAAAGCCCUUUUGUUGGGAAAGAAAAGCAGCAGGUUAAUACCCCGCUGUUCUGACGGUACCCAAAGAAUAAGCACCGGCUAACUUCGUG